GCUGGGCGUGGUGGCGCACGCCUGUAAUCCCAGCUACUCAGAAGGCUGAGGCAGGAGAAUCGCUUGAACCCAGGAGGUGGUGGUUGCAGUGAGUCAAAUCACGCCACUGCACUCCAGCCUGGGUGACAGAGUGAGACUCCGUCUCAG
rnacentral:sRNA from 1 species